AUUGAACGCUGGCGGCAGGCCUAACACAUGCAAGUCGAGCGGAUGAAGAGAGCUUGCUCUCUGAUUUAGCGGCGGACGGGUGAGUAAUGCCUAGGAAUCUGCCUGGUAGCGGGGGAUAACGUCCGGAAACGGGAGCUAAUACCGCAUACGUCCUACGGGAGAAAGCACGGGACCUUCGGGCCUUGCGUUAGCAGAGGAGCCUAGGUCGGAUUAGCUAGUUGGUGAGGUAAUGGCUCACCAAGGCUACGAUCCGUAACUGGUCUGAGAGGAUGAUCAGUCACACUGGAACUGAGACACGGUCCAGACUCCUACGGGAGGCAGCAGUGGGGAAUAUUGGACAAUGGGCGAAAGCCUGAUCCAGCCAUGCCGCGUGUGUGAAGAAGGUCUUCGGAUUGUAAAGCACUUUAAGUUGGGAGGAAGGGCAGUAAGUUAAUACCUUGCUGUUUUGACGUUACCGACAGAAUAAGCACCGGCUAACUUCGUGCCAGCAGCCGCCGCGGUAA
rnacentral:rRNA from 1 species